rnacentral:lncRNA from 1 species
AUGGCUCCCCAGAGGAAAGGGCCAGAAGGUUUUCACCAGCGCGGUGAGUGGCGAGGAUUUCAGGAAGAUUGGAAUUGAGGAGGAAGCCAUUUGCCUGCCUACAACCUCCUGUAUCCCCUUGUUGGUGACAGAACAAAAGAUAAAGCAGUCAGCAUUACCUGAAGUGACUUGGAGGUGAUUAAUACUCAGAGCUCCUGGAGCAGAAAGGUGGGCAUGCAAGUUGCAAUUAAGAUGAUAAAGAACGCAGCUUAGCAGCAAGCUGGGGUGCGAGGCUGGUGAGGAGGAGAGCUACUGCCUGUCUCUUGCUCUGCAGAGACUGCUUCUGAGAUACACGCACGGGGUUUAUGAUGCUGCCAGGCUCAUCAGGAGAGAGAAGAAAGGGCUCUGUAAUCACACAGUCGUGUGCAUCCAUCCCCAGCUGUCAACAGGAUCUUCUGAGUAAAACACAGCUAAAUAAAUCUCUGCAAUGAGGAAGGACCGCAAUCAAAGGUGAGGAAAUGGAGGAAAAGAAACUUCUUCAAGGUCACCUAGCUCAUAAAUGGCAACACCAAGAUUUAAAUUGAAGUAGUUUAUCUCGAGAGUCCUUGCUUUUGGAUGGGAGUCUUGUCGAUCACAUUCAACCCUAAAUACCCAUCA